GACGAACGCUGGCGGCGUGCUUAACACAUGCAAGUCGAACGGAAAGGCCCUGCUUUUGUGGGGUGCUCGAGUGGCGAACGGGUGAGUAACACGUGAGUAACCUGCCCUUGACUUUGGGAUAACUUCAGGAAACUGGGGCUAAUACCGGAUAGGAGCUCCUGCUGCAUGGUGGGGGUUGGAAAGUUUCGGCGGUUGGGGAUGGACUCGCGGCUUAUCAGCUUGUUGGUGGGGUAGUGGCUUACCAAGGCUUUGACGGGUAGCCGGCCUGAGAGGGUGACCGGCCACAGUGGGACUGAGAUAGGGCCCAGACUCCUACGGGAGGCAGGAGUGGGGAAUAUUGCACAAUGGGCGGAAGCCUGAUGCAGCAACGCCGCGUGGGGAAUGACGGCCUUCGGGUUGUAAACCGCUUUCGCCUGUGACGAAGCGUGAGGGAGGGAAAUGGGGAAAGAAGCACCGGCUAACUACGU
rnacentral:rRNA from 1 species